CGCACCUUGCGCUCCUUGGUAUUCCAUGGAGCAUGCCUGUUUGAGUGUCACGUUAACCCUCACCUUCGGGAUGUCAAAGUCUCGACGGUGGAUUUGGACCGUGCCGUAAAUGGCUCGUCCUGAAAUGCAUUAGCUUGCGCUUGUUAGAGUGCUUGGCAUGGUGUGAUAAUUAUCUGCGCCGUCGCCUUAGGCCUCUUCUAUACGUGCUGCUUACAGUCGUCCCUCGCGGACAACAUCUUAAGCUUUGACCUCAAAUCAGGUAGGACUACCCGCUGAACUUAA
rnacentral:misc_RNA from 1 species